rnacentral:tmRNA from 1 species
GGGGUCGACUGGUUUUGACAGCAAGCCUAAGCAUGAUGUAAGCACGCCGAGCUAUGAGGCUAAUGCUCGUUAAUCUCUGUUUCAACACUUUAAAUGGCGAGAAUAACUACGCUCUUGCUGCCUAGUCUGAAUUAUAGUAAGAUUGCUGGCUAAGUCCCUACAAGGUAGGGAGGCGAGAUGUCUCUGAAAGCCCUUGUUGAUGGCUCAUCGCAAAAGAGAUACCAUUAAAAUCAACAUGGAAUCUUUGGGUGGCUUCUUCCCCUAGGUUCAGCUCUUACAGAAGCUAAGGGUGAUGUGGGGCGUUCCCGCUCAGCAUUACCACGAAAAACAAACGGGAACUAAGCGUGUAGAAAGCCUUGUGGUUACUUGUUUGGACGAGAGUUCGAAUCUCUCCGACUCCACUU